CUCCGCGUCCCGCUGUCCGCCCGCUAGCGUCCAGGGCGCCUCCUCUGUGCAGGGCGGGCGACGAGGCUCCCGAGGCGGAGCUGAUGGCUGCACUGAGGGCGGGGCGGGGUGCAGUCUGGAGCCUCCGAGGAUGGCGCGCUUUGGGAGGGGGUCGCUGGGGAAAGGGACCCCUGUUGACCCCUGACCUCCGGGCCUUGCUGACGUUAGGAACUCCUGACCCUCGGGCCCGAGUGACUUAUGGGACCCCCAGUUUCGGGGCCCGGUUGUCUGUGGGAGCCCCUGAACCACGAACAUGUCUGACGUCGGGGACUUCGGAUCCCCGAGCACGGCUGAUCCAGGGGACCCCAGAUCCCCGGAUCCGGGAAGACUCAGGGACCCCUGGAACCCGUCCGCGCGUGUGGCUGGCGGUGGCGCUGGGCGCUGGGGGGGCAGUGCUCUUGUUGUUGUGGGGCGGGGGUCGGGGUCCCCCGGCCGUCCUCGCCUCGGUCCUUGGCUCGCCGCCUCCCUCUCCCCGGAGCCAGUACAACUUCAUCGCGGACGUGGUGGAGAAGACGGCCCCUGCCGUGGUUUAUAUCGAGAUCUUGGGCCGGCACCCUUUUUCGGGCCGCGAAGUCCCUAUCUCGAAUGGCUCAGGAUUCGUGGUGGCUGCCGACGGGCUCAUCGUUACCAACGCUCAUGUGGUGGCUGAUCGGCGCCGAGUCCGUGUCAGGCUGCCUAGCGGCGAUACGUAUGAGGCCGUCGUCACAGCUGUGGAUCCCGUGGCAGAUAUCGCCACGCUGAGGAUUCAGACCAAGGAGCCUCUCCCAACGCUGCCCCUGGGACGUUCAGCCGAUGUCCGGCAAGGGGAGUUUGUCGUUGCCAUGGGAAGUCCCUUUGCACUGCAGAACACGAUCACAUCCGGCAUUGUCAGCUCUGCUCAGCGUCCAGCCAAAGACCUGGGCCUUCCCCAAACCAAUGUGGAAUACAUCCAGACUGAUGCAGCUAUUGAUUUUGGAAACUCUGGCGGUCCCCUGGUUAACCUGGAUGGGGAGGUGAUUGGGGUGAAUACCAUGAAGGUCACAGCUGGAAUCUCCUUUGCCAUCCCUGCUGAUCGCCUUCGAGAGUUUCUACAUCGUGGAGAAAAGAAGAAUUCCUGGUUUGGAAGCAGUGGGUCCCAGCGCCGCUACAUUGGAGUGAUGAUGCUAACCCUGACUCCCAGCAUCCUUGCUGAACUACAGCUUCGAGAACCAAGCUUUCCUGAUGUUCAGCAUGGUGUGCUCAUCCAUAAAGUCAUCCUGGACUCCCCUGCACACCGGGCUGGUCUACGGCCUGGUGAUGUGAUCUUGGCCAUUGGGGAGCGGCUGGUACAAAAUGCUGAAGAUAUUUAUGAAGCCGUUCGAACCCAAUCCCAGCUGGCAGUGCGGAUCCGGCGGGGACCGGAAACAUUGACCUUAUAUGUGACCCCUGAAGUCACAGAAUGAAUGGAUCAGCAAGAGUAGGAGGCUUCUGCUCUGAUUUCUACCUUGCUUUCCUGGCUUGGGUUCUUAUGGCACCCGGAUGGAGGAUUAAAUGAACCAGUUGGGGGCAGGUCCCUCCAACUACCAGCACCAAUCCCUGGGCCCUGAGGAAUCACAAAAACACUUUUUAUAUAAAAUAAAAUUAUACCUAGCAACAUGUUAUACUCAAAAAUGAGGGGAAGGGUGGCGCACUGCUCUUUCCCCCCACAAAAAGGCUAGAGGUAAAGCCGUAUCUCCCUGAACUGAGAGGAGAUAUUGGAGUUGACCAUUCUGACCUCCCUGUUUAAGAAAACGAGCUGCUGCUGUCUUUUCCUGGGCAGUCAAUCAGGUGCGCCUCUUUGUGGCGUGCUUGGUUUGGUGCUGGGCCUGGGAGCAAAAUUCCCCAUGCCUGGCCACAGAUCCAGACAGCCGGCGUAAAAGGAGGGCAAUAACUUCUGCUUGACAGUUCUACACCCACAGUGCACAAUGGAUGAGUGCCGUGGGCCUGCUGACGUCAAGGAUUCCUUGUGUAGGGCAGGUUGCAUCGGACUCCAGCAUCUUGGCUAUGGGAACAGUCCUCAGCUGUGAUGUUCCUGUGGGGGCACUUCCAGAGGGAGGGUUCCUGGCCAGAGCAUCGAACUUCACUCAAAUGGAUGGCACCCAUGCCUAAGGGUGCUGGCCCUAAUGGAGGCUGAGGCUGACGCUACUGUGCAAAGACAAUAGGAAGCCAGGACUGACCAGCUGGAAGAGAUGGGUAGGAGGGAGUAGCUGACACAAACAGGAAGCCUGAAUAGCCAGAGUGAGCAGAUCCUUCUAUUACGCUGUGACUGAAAUAACUAAAUGAGUCAGGAUGCAAAGGAGUGAGUAAGUCUUGCGUCUACAUGGCUUCUUAGAGGCCAGAGGGGUUUCCAGGCCAGAGGAUGAUGGGCAGUUAUGGAAGAACAGACCAGAUGGUGAACACAGGAAAGACUGGAGUUGGUAUAUACAGGAACGAAGAUGUACAAAUGCAAGACAGACAAAGAGGGGCCACGUGACCAGAGAAGGAGAGUGAAUAUGAACAACAGAAGGGUGAAGAUAUCCCCAGACCUGAGCUGAACUGUAUGAGUCUUUAAUGAGGUAGUCCAUGCUUCUGCAGUUUAAAUGUAACAGAAAGAAUGUUCCAUAGCCCCUCAAGUGGGAAAAUGGGACUAAAUUAGAGAUGUUAAAACUUGGAAACACAGCGGAGAGAUGCUAGAGAGAAUGAAGAGACUUGCUUAUUGACACCAACGGAAUGAGAUACUGCAGUGAGCCAUGUGAUGAGAGAAGUACGUUCUUCCCAGAACAGCUGGUUUGAACCCAGAGAGGAAAGGAACCAGAUGAGGCCUGGUGUUGGUGGAGUGGGUCUGUGAGGCUGGUUUGGCAGUGAAUUAUUGCAGUAAUGUGCUCCAUUACUUGAUGUCAGAGGAAGGAAGGAAUAUGACGAUUUGAAGCCAUUGGCUGGGAAGACACAGAGAGAUGGACAAGUUAUAAACAAAUCAGACCAAGGAAGCCUGGAGACUUUACAGAAUACCUUUGCGAGCUCAAGAUAAGUGGAUUCAAAGAGACCAGGUAUUCUCCCAAAGUCCUGUCUGGCUGAAAAUAAAAGUCAAAGACGCCAUCAGAGGAAAAAGACAUCUCUCUUCUAAACUCUCUCCUCCUUUUUUCCCCAUAACUGACAAAAUAAAAACACCAGUGUGCAUUUUAAUGUGGGGGGUCAGGGAAGGCCAGAGUAUGGCCAUGUUGGGCAAGAUGACCCUAAGCUGGAAGGGCACUACAAGAACACCCCCAAAUUCCAAGCCCCUUUGAAGGCACCAGAGGGAGGAGCUGGGGAAUGAGGGGUACCAGGGGCCACUGGGUGAUCUCGGAAUGCUGUGAAGAGAGGAGGAAAGAAUAGAAAGGGAUGACUUCUCUAUGCCUCAACUACUGCUGAAGAAGCUAUCAGAGAGACUUUUCAUGGACAAAUUGCCUUUAGAAACCAAGUGAGACACAAUCAUCGGGAUUGGAAGCUUUCCAUUCCCUGGGCUUCUGAAGGAACCCAGGAGGAAAAUGAUGGGACUGGGAGCCUAAUUGUGUGAACUGGGCCAGAGAUCAGGACUUCCAUGUGACUCCAUCCCUGACAAAGUUUCCAGAGGGGAUCCUCAGUCUCACUUCCAAGCUGGUAGCACUUAUUUUUAACAAUUAAAUAAAGGUAGGAUGGGAACACUGAUCCCUUAGGCAAACUUAACUUCUUGGGGGAGAGGCAAGCAUGGCAUCUGAAGGACAAGAGUGCCAGAGUAUCUACUAAAAUCUGCUGGGGGAAGAUAAAUAAGCAUGUGGAACAAGGGUAGUCAGUGGAUGAACUUCUGAGAUUUUCAGAAAUCCUGUGACAAGCAUAAUUCCUCAGAGAACCACAUAAGGGCCAGUCUUACUUUACAUUUCGGUGACUCAUCUGGAAGGUGGCUUGUAACAGUUGCUGCUGCUCUUCCACCUCUUGGUGGAGGCUUCUCUUGGACCCCUUCCUGACCACAGCCCGACGCCCCUGACUCGUCACUCGGCACUCCCUCUCCUCUCCACUUAGCCUG